ACUUAAAUUGAAGAGUUUGAUCAUGGCUCAGAUUGAACGCUGGCGGCAGGCCUAACACAUGCAAGUCGAGCGGUAGCACAGAGAGCUUGCUCUCGGGUGACGAGCGGCGGACGGGUGAGUAAUGUCUGGGAAACUGCCUGAUGGAGGGGGGUAACUACUGGAAACGGUAGCUAAUACCGCAUAACGUCGCAAGACCAAAGUGGGGGACCUUCGGGCCUCAUGCCAUCAGAUGUGCCCAGAUGGGAUUAGCU
rnacentral:rRNA from 1 species